GUAUGGGUAACCCAAAACUAGAGAUUGUGAUGGCUAAUAAAGGAGAGCUUCUGAUCAGCGUGAUCAUUCCGGCGAAGAUAAACACGAUUUUACGCCCAAACCUUCCUCGCCUUCUUCUUCUUCUUCUUCUUCUUCUUCUUCCUAACAUGAGUGUGGUUCUUUCUGCGAUUUAGGGCUCAACUGCAAAACUGUUCAGAAGUUUUUACAAGUUGAUCAGAAGCUUGGCAUCAAAGAAGUUCAUGACUGAAUUGUAGGUACUACUCAAUGUACGGAUAUUUGGAGAAACUAUUACAAGAGAUUAGGAAAGUGUUGCAUCUGUUGAUGGUGGUCGAUGCCAAACUCUGGCAGUUGUCAGGUACUAGAGACGCUCCAAAAAGAUGUGCUCUCUAAAUGAGUGGACUGCCAAAGAGUGAUGCUCCUCUUAUCACCCCCGACGACCUUGGUAAGGCUGAUGGCUUUGUCUUUUGCUUCCCAACAAGGUUUGGUAUAUGAUGGCUGCUCAUUUCAAGGUAUUCUUAGACAAAAUUGGUGGCCUCUGGAGGACUUUACAACUUGCAGUUAAGCCAGCCGUAAACUUCUGCAGCACCGGGGCUCAAGGUGGUGGUCAAGAAACCUCAUCAACACUUGCUUCGGUUUUUACGUUUUGGAGUGCUUACUUGUGUUGUCAUUGAUUUCUAACACUUUUUUGUAAUAUUUGUAAUCAGGAUUCAUAAACUAUCGAACCAAUUCUAUUUUUAUAGAUCUUGAUCUCAUGCAAGUUAAGCAAACACAAGAAUAUUUUC